GGGUGAACAACAUGUAUAAAUUUUUUAUUUUUUUAUUUUUAUGGUUUUAAUGAGUCAAUUCAAUUCUUCUUAUGUGUUAAGAUUAUAAUUAGCAGUGAAGCACGACUGGCUCCUUAUUGUUAAAAACUUGUGAUUGUAGGGAUCCAUCUUGCAAGCUAGUACGUACGCUGCUAUAUAUAAUGUAAGGAUUUUGAUGUACAAUUUGAGUUCAAUACACAUGCAAAUGAAAUGGACAUAAUCCCAUGCUAUCCAAACCCUAACAAAACUGCUUCUCUCGCAGACUUUCUUGAUAUAUGUAUGACUCUUUAUUGUGUUGUUCAUGUGUUA
rnacentral:lncRNA from 1 species